CAUAAAACUUUUAUCAUAAGAUAUUAUUUACUAAAAUACAGGCAAAAGAUCCCGAAAGACAAACGACUAUUGAUACUAUAAUCUUUAAAGGCAUUGUCUUACGGUUUGGCAGUACAAAACGCAGAUUAGACAACAACAAAAAAUAGCUGUUAAAAGUUCAUUACGUGGACUUUUUUUCUUCAUUAUUUUUAUUUACCGGCAAUUAUUAGCCAAAACAUGUUUCGUAUUUUUUUGGUGAUCUUUUAAAAAGACACGUUUUUGCUCUAGAGGUUUGCCGGAGAGCCAUUUCCUCGUAGAAUGACGUCAAUAUCGAUAAAGGCGAAACGCACCCCGGAGCGCUAUUGUGAGGAUCUUUCUCUCCGCUGAUACCCGGCCGGAGCGCGGCUGGACCCGAGCUACCUCCCCGCGGAACUCCCGCUGGAAUGGUUUGAGCGCGCGGAGCGCGGCAGAGGACGCACAAGGCCGACGACAGACGAAAUGAUGCGAGCUCAGGCAGCAGCCAAUUAAAAUGCGGCUUCCAUCCCUCCACAUCUGCCUCCCUUUACAAACGAAUCAAACAGAAAAGCAGGAACCCAGUGAAAGAGCGCUCAUUGAGAUCACAGAUGGAGUAUAGGUUUUUGCAAGAAAUUUGAGAAACACCAUUGUCCCAAAUCCAAACUCAAUGUGGUCCCUCACAAUGGUUGGGGCUUUGAGCCGCGCCGACUCAAUUGGCCUUGUUUUUUAAACUUGAAGUGUUGAGCACAAAGACCGGCCUCCUAAAUGUCACAACCGCUCCGAGUGGGGCUCUGCAGCGCGAUGCUGCCUGAAAAAAAAAAGAGAGAAAAAGAACACAAUUAUGAAGCAAUAAUUACUCUGCUUCUCUUCGCACGCCACUGCGUCUAUUCAGGCCCCUUUAGCCCCAUUUAAUGCUUUAUCCUCGUCCACGAUAAUCCGAAUACCACAGCUUUAUUAUUUUUUCUUCUCCCUUGCAGAAUUUUCUUAUGAGACGGGAGUGGGAAACGGGGAUUGUGCUAAACCGGACAAUGGCCGUGUCGACUUACUUUUUUAAUAUCGAAAGAUUAAUGCUUAGCGUCACAGCCGAGAGCUCGCGAUACGAAAUGUAUAUUAAACUCAUUUAUUGAAACGGAUGUAAAAUAUUACGUUUGUUUUUAUUUAUUUGUCGCAUAUUUAUUAAGCAGCACCGUAACUGAUACAAAUAAAAAUAUUGUUUUAAUUAAAAGUGUUUUUUGGGGGAGUAUAGGCUUUUUUUAAAUGUUUUUUUUUUUUAAACGUAUAAAAAUGCUGAAAAUGUCAAGGACAACCGUAGACUAUAAUUGCUAAUAAUACAAAAUAAUUAAAUAAACGACAACAAAUACAUCACAUGUUUAAAAAGUAGCCUAUAUUAUGUAUCUAUGAUUAAUAUAGCAGAUAUAAAACACCAAUUUUCAUUCAGUGUGAAAAAAAGAGCACUUUUUUUGACUGACUAUAGGCCAACGUUUAAGUUAUUAAGUUAUUUGCAGGACUGUGUAAAACGCACUACAUAAAAGAGCUUCUUCUUUCGUUAUCUUGAAGAUUUGUCUUAUUGCUUUGCUGAGUACUAAUUUUUGUAAAGUCGUCUUAAUAUGUAUCGAAUAUCCACGAAGAAAACUGUUUAAUGAGUCCGUUCAUAUCACUAGACGUUGUA